UUGCUCUGUGGGAUCAGUGGCGAACGGGUGAGUAACACGUGAGCAACCUGCCCCUGACUCUGGGAUAAGCGCUGGAAACGGCGUCUAAUACUGGAUACGAGUAGCGAUCGCAUGGUCAGCUACUGGAAAGAUUUUUUGGUUGGGGAUGGGCUCGCGGCCUAUCAGCUUGUUGGUGAGGUAAUGGCUCACCAAGGCGUCGACGGGUAGCCGGCCUGAGAGGGUGACCGGCCACACUGGGACUGAGACACGGCCCAGACUCCUACGGGAGGCAGCAGUGGGGAAUAUUGCACAAUGGGCGGAAGCCUGAUGCAGCAACGCCGCGUGAGGGAUGACGGCCUUCGGGUUGUAAACCUCUUUUAGCAGGGAAGAAGCGAAAGUGACGGUACCUGCAGAAAAAGCGCCGGCUAACUACGUGCCAGCAGCCGCGGUAAUACGUAGGGCGCAAGCGUUAUCCGGAAUUAUUGGGCGUAAAGAGCUCGUAGGCGGUUUGUCGCGUCUGCUGUGAAAUCCCGAGGCUCAACCUCGGGCCUGCAGUGGGUACGGGCAGACUAGAGUGCGGUAGGGGAGAUUGGAAUUCCUGGUGUAGCGGUGGAAUGCGCAGAUAUCAGGAGGAACACCGAUGGCGAAGGCAGAUCUCUGGGCCGUAACUGACGCUGAGGAGCGAAAGGGUGGGGAGCAAACAGGCUUAGAUACCCUGGUAGUCCACCCCGUAAACGUUGGGAACUAGUUGUGGGGUCCAUUCCACGGAUUCCGUGACGCAGCUAACGCAUUAAGUUCCCCGCCUGGGGAGUACGGCCGCAAGGCUAAAACUCAAAGGAAUUGACGGGGACCCGCACAAGCGGCGGAGCAUGCGGAUUAAUUCGAUGCAACGCGAAGAACCUUACCAAGGCUUGACAUAUACGAGAACGGGCCAGAAAUGGUCAACUCUUUGGACACUCGUAAACAGGUGGUGCAUGGUUGUCGUCAGCUCGUGUCGUGAGAUGUUGGGUUAAGUCCCGCAACGAGCGCAACCCUCGUUCUAUGUUG
rnacentral:rRNA from 1 species